rnacentral:misc_RNA from 1 species
AAGUCGUAACAAGGUUUCCGUAGGUAUUGCACGCCUGGAGGUUUGCCUACGGACUCUACGUUGCAGUCGGCCUUUGUGGCCGGCAACGCCCUCAAUCUGCGCUGGGAGUGUUCUUCGGAACCCGACCAGCAGCUCCCCUCGGGGAGUCCACAGAUCAGACGACGGCGGCCAUUACAAGCUAUGGUUUCGAUAUGAUCGGCCCCAACCGUUUCCGGUUGGCGAGUUUUUGCGGAACCUGCGGAAGGAUCAUUAAUGAGAGGGGGGUUUUCGGCCUCCCGGUGGCUCCGCCGCCAACUCUUCACCCUUUGUUUACUUAUCAUGUUGCUUUGGCGGGCCUUGGGGUUCGCGCCCCAUACCUGCUCUGGGCUUCGCCUCGGGCGGUAAGCGCCCGUCAGAGACCCCAUCAAACACCCUUGAACUGUACGUCCCGAGUAAAAUUAUAAUAGUAAAAAUC